AAAAUUUCCUUCAUGAAAGUUGUAGAGGACGUUAACCCGAGCGCGUGCAUAUGUGGUGCGUAAAAAUCGGAGUUCGUAUGCGAAAGUUACAAGCGAAAUAGUAAAGUUACUGUUCAUUGGUAGAAAGUAUAAAUUUGAAAAUUUACUGUUGCUGGGUAAUUUCUUUUCUCUCUCCCCUUCCCCGCGUUUUCUCUCUUCUCCCCGAACUGUUGCUCUUUCUCCCUCUCGCCUGCAACUCCGGCCUUCUUCCUCCUCCGGCCACCUGACGACGAAAAGCAAGUAUCUUUGGACUCGUCUCCGCUCCCUCUAGGUGCCUGUGGUGGUGUUUUGCGGUGGCUCGGCCCAAUGAGCUCGGAUUUGAGCUGUGAAGUUCACUGUAGCAAUCCGGAAGUUUCGUCGAUUUCCGGCGAUUCCGGCCAUCUCCGGCCACCAAACCGGCGUCGAAGGAGCGGUUUUUCCCAAGGAUCAUGUUGCCCCUAGCCUUGAGCCACGAUUUGCAGUGUGGAGGUCGAAUCGAAUGUUUGAAAUUCCGAGUUACUAUUCACAAUUCGGGUUCAAACUUCUCUUUAAUUGUUGAGGAUGUCGUACCGGGCUCUGGCUCGAUAAAGGAACUCGUAUACGUGACCGUCGGAAUAGUACUUGUACAGGUGAAAUUAGUUGAGGUCGGGCGUACAUGGUGUCGAGGCAUAGUCAACAGCAUGGCUUCCGCGUUUGCCUUUGAAUUAGGUUUUCCUCAUUUACCUUUCUAUUAGAAUUGCUCUGAUUACCUGAGGAAUUAAGGUUAUUAAGCUGAGAUUUGUGUGUUGUGAAUUUGGUUGACGUUGAUUUGGGGAGCAGGGUGGCUCCAGGAGAAUAAGGAUGGGUGAUUUAGAAGUGUAAAUUUUCUUUCUACAGGUUUUGGGUUGUCCACUUUAGGGGAAGUUCUGCCAAAUUUUUGGCAAAAUUUCUUCUAAGGUGGGCCCCGCAGGGCCACCCCAGGUUUCGGGGUGAAAUCUGGGGCGGGUC